CUGCUUUGCUGUAGUUUUUUUAGGUUUUGAUUUUUAUUGAAUUCAGAUGAGAAAACCAAAACCUAAAGAAAAUAUUGCACAGCCAGA
rnacentral:miRNA from 1 species